rnacentral:piRNA from 5 species
CGCCUGCCACGCGGGAGGCCCGGG